CCUGCAUAAUUGAGUUUGCUCAUCAGCAAAUGAGUCGACCUACCAAGGUCAUGAGUCGACUCCAACAAAAAUGAGUCAACUCACCAAGUACUCGAGUCAACCCAAUUGAGAAUCAAGUCGACUUCACAGGCAUGCCAGUCAUAGUUUCAUGUUUUCAUGCAACCAAAACUUAGGAUUUUGGAUCUAAGAUUUUGUAAAAAUUAAAUUUUAGAUCGUGUGACAAAAUAAUAUAUCAAAUAU
rnacentral:lncRNA from 1 species